rnacentral:lncRNA from 1 species
UUAGCCCAGAACUACUCGCUAGCACUCGAAUACACUAAUACACGACCGGCGGAAGAGCCAAGUGCUACUACUGCCUGCGCUCAGCACACUAGCAAAGCACACACACUCACUAGUGCUGCUUACACACACACGCACAUGGAAGAGAGAAGCUCACGGACACACUAGCUGUUGUGAAGCUCAAAUGGAUUUUGAAUGGAAUGAGUUACAUCGAUGGAGCACAGCUCCUUAUAUAGUGGUCACGAACCGACCUAAGCAAAAUAUCUGCUAGCUAUGAAGUAAGCACUUGCGUCACAUACUAGCUUAUCUAGUAAGCUUCGUUUCUACUACUACUACUGCCUUAACUAGUAAGGAAUGCAAAAGCUGUUGUUGCCGACCUGCACCUUCUGCAUGCUAGCUAAGUGACCGCCUGUGCUGCUGCCGCCGCUGUAGCCACGCAUGCAUCUAGCCAUGCAUGCAUCGGAGACAGGGUUGGGCCCACAAUCUCCCCCUCAACCAUGUCGGAGGGUCUUGAUGUCGAUGAUCCCGAUCUUGUUGCGCGGUUCUUGGAACUCGACGCAACCAAGUACCUUCGUUGGGAUGUCCGCCUUCUCGGCGGCCCGUAUGCCCUGUUCGUGCUUCUUGAUCUCGGGUGCUGCGAUCGUCUCGCGGGCUCGAGAAGGUCCCCCUAGGCUUCGGAACCUAUGUGGAUCGCCACCAUUUUUGUUGGCAUCGAACAAGUCCGACCGCGCUGUUGACGGGGACAUGAACUGCCCGGGAACCACCUCGCUCGUGGGCGUCAGUGUUCCUGGGGUCGUAGUUCCUGAUGUCACACUGCCCGGGAACUCCCUUCCCGGGGUCGUCGUGCCGGACGCCGCACUGCCCGGGAACUCCCUUCCCGGGGAUGACUUGUCGGACAUCGCACUACCCAGGAACUCCCUUCCUGGGGUCGUUGUGCCGGACGCCGCACUGCCCGGAGUGGCUCCUCUCAGGGUAGCGAAGUCCUUGGUGUUCUUCCCAUCAGACUUGCUUGUCGGGUCUCCUCCGACAGUUGUGAGUCGUGCCUUCCGCACGGACUCGAUGGACCCCGAGCGCGUCAGGGUUGCUGCGUGGCUGACCAUAGAGCACCACGCCUCCUACACAGCCUCGAUGGUCGCCAGAGUCACGGUCGAGGCCUUGCCGCCCCAUGACCGUCUCUUCAUGGCCUCCCAGCUGUUGAGGCCCGUCGAAGAGUGCCGUGUUGCCCACACGGGCUUGCAGAACCCCGAGAACCUGGUUGUCGGGGUAUGGCCGACCUGAGAGUGUCAUGCCUCUUGCACGGUCUCACUGGUCACCAGCAUCAUGGUUGGGACAUGGCCCACCAUAUGCGUCGUUGCCGUGCCUCCUGACACGGGCUUAUUGGGUCCCGAAGAUGUCGGGUACGCCUUUGCCGUGCCAACUUGCACGGGCUUGUCGGGUCCCGAGGAUGUCGGGGCCGCGAUUGCCGUGCCAACUUGCACGGGCUUGACCAGCGUCACAAGGGACGUGGUUGCCGGGGUGUGGCUCCCCCACACCCGGGUCUUCAUCUCCUCCCAAUCGAAAUCUCCCGAGAACGUUGUUGUCGGGGAGAGCGCUACCGAUGUGGGGAGGGGAUUAUUUGAAGAGCUCCGUGCCUCCCGCACAGACUUGACGGUUGCCGGCACCGUGGUCGCCGGAGGUGCUGCGCCCUCCUGCACGGCUUCGAUGCUUGUCGGGACCAUGGUUGCCGGAGGCGCUGUGCCCUCCUGCAUGGUCUCGACGCAAGCCAUCAUCAUUGCUGGCCCACCGUCCUCUUCAGCCUCGACGAGGUUCGCCGCGGCCGCGGCAUCCUCAUCAGCCAUCCUCUUGCGGCACUCACGGGCCCAGUGGCCCUUGAUGCUACAAUAUCGGCACUUGUCCCGGUCGUCGUUGCCGGCACCUCGCCCGGCUCCACCCUGGGUGCGACCGCCGCCUCUGCUACUCUGGGCACCGCCACCACGUCCUUGACGCUUCCUCGCCUCCCACUUCUUUGAGAAUAGGAGUUGUCCGCCGCCGAAGCUCUCGCGGCCGUCGUCAAGACGGUCCUCGACCACCCGCAACCGGCCCGUGAGCUCCUCGACGGAGAGCUCACUCAGAUCAAGCAAGGUCUCGAUGGAGACCGCUACCUGAGCGAAGCGAGAUGGCACGACGCGGAGAAAUUUCCGCACGACUCUCGUGUCGUCCAUGGUGUCGCCGAGCGCGCGGAGCUGUGACGCAAGGCUGGAGAUCCGCAUGGCGAAUUCGUCGACGAGCUCGCCCUCCUUGAAGGCGAUGUUCUCGAAGUCCGCCCGCAGCUUCUGCGGGUUCGCCUCGCGCACGCAGUUGCUGCCGAGGCGCUGGGUACGGAUGGCUUCCCACGCCUCCUUGGUGCUUGCCUUCGCCGCGAGCAUGCCGUGCAUCUCCGGUGGCGUGGCGCGCAUGAGGGCUGCCACGGCUUUCCUGUCCUCCUUUCUCUCGAUCAGGUCGUCCUCCAUGGGAGCCCAGAGGCUUGCCGCAUGAAGGUUGCACUCCAUGAUCAACGCCCACUCGCUGUAGUUCGAGCGCGUGAGCAUCGGGAAGGUGAUGGGCACGCUACCGCUGAUUGCGGUCUCGCGCACGAUCUCCCUAACCACGACCUCACCGCGAUGGCCGCGCCUGGAGCGGUUGCGCCCUCGCCGCUCCUCUGGAGCCGGCGACUGGGAACCACCCGAGGUGGUGCGUUGCUGCACUCCUUUACCACCGGCCAUGGCUACCACAACCAGAGGCUCUGAUACCAAUUGUUAGCCCAGAACUACUCGCUAGCACUCGAGUACACUGAUACACGACCGGCGGAAGAGCCAAGUGCUACUACUGCCUGCGCUCAGCACACUAGCAAAGCACACACACUCACUAGUGCUGCUUACACACACACGCACAUGGAAGAGAGAAGCUCACGGACACACUAGCUGUUGUGAAGCUCAAAUGGAUUUUGAAUGGAAUGAGUUACAUCGAUGGAGCACAGCUCCUUAUAUAGUGGUCACGAACCGACCUAAGCAAAAUAUCUGCUAGCUAUGAAGUAAGCACUUGCGUCACAUACUAGCUUAUCUAGUAAGCUUCGUUUCUACUACUACUACUGCCUUAACUAGUAAGGAAUGCAAAAGCUGUUGUUGCCGACCUGCACCUUCUGCAUGCUAGCUAAGUGACCGCUUGUGCUGCUGCCGCCGCUGUAGCCACACAUGCAUCUAGC